rnacentral:rRNA from 1 species
CGAGUGAGCGGCAAAAGCUCAAAUUUGAAAUCUGGCACUUUCAGUGUCCGAGUUGUAAUUUGAAGAAGGUAUCUUUGGGUCUGGCUCUUGUCUAUGUUUCUUGGAACAGAACGUCACAGAGGGUGAGAAUCCCGUGCGAUGAGAUGACCCAGACCUAUGUAAAGUUCCUUCGAAGAGUCGAGUUGUUUGGGAAUGCAGCUCUAAGUGGGUGGUAAAUUCCAUCUAAAGCUAAAUAUUGGCGAGAGACCGAUAGCGAACAAGUACAGUGAUGGAAAGAUGAAAAGAACUUUGAAAAGAGAGUGAAAAAGUACGUGAAAUUGUUGAAAGGGAAGGGCUUGAGAUCAGACUUGGUAUUUUGUAUGUUACUCUUUCGGGGGUGGCCUCUACAGUUUACCGGGCCAGCAUCAGUUUGGGCGGUAGGAGAAUUGCAAAGAAAUGUGGCACUGCCUCGGUAGUGUGUUAUAGUCUUUGUCGAUACUGCCAGCCUAGACUGAGGACUGCGGCUUCGGCCUAGGAUGUUGGCAUAAUGAUCUUAAGUCGCCCGUCUUGAAACCACGGAC